UACGAAGGGGGCUAGCGUUGCUCGGAAUUACUGGGCGUAAAGCGCACGUAGGCGGUUUCUUAAGUCGGGGGUGAAAUCCUGGAGCUCAACUCCAGAACUGCCUUCGAUACUGGGAAACUUGAGUCCGGGAGAGGUGAGUGGAACUGCGAGUGUAGAGGUGAAAUUCGUAGAUAUUCGCAAGAACACCAGUGGCGAAGGCGGCUCACUGGCCCGUUACUGACGCUGAGGUGCGAAAGCGUGGGGAGCAAACAGG
rnacentral:rRNA from 1 species